AUACGGAGGGUGCAAGCGUUACUGGGAAUCACUGGGCGUAAAGCGCGCGCAGGCGGUCUUUUAAGUUGGAUGUGAAAGCCUACGGCUCAACCGUAGAACUGCAUCCAAAACUAUUAGACUAGAGUGUGGGAGAGGAAGAUGGAAUUAGUUGUGUAGGGGUAAAAUCCGUAGAGAUAACUAGGAAUACCAAAAGCGAAGGCAAUCUUCUGGAACACUACUGACGCUGAGGCGCGAAAGCGUGGGGAGCAAACAGGAUUAGAAACCCCUGUAGUCC
rnacentral:rRNA from 1 species